ACGGGAGGCAGCAGUGGGGAAUAUUGGGCAAUGGGCGAAAGCCUGACCCAGCGACGCCGCGUGAGGGAAGAAGGUCUUCGGAUUGUAAACCUCUUUCAGCAGGGAAGAAGCGAGUGACGGUACCUGCUAAGAAAGCCACGGCUAACUACGUGCCAGCAGCCGCGGUAAUACGUAGGUGGCGAGCGUUAUCCGGAUUUACUGGGUGUAAAGGGUGUGUAGGCGGACUGACAAGUCGGGUGUGAAAUCCAUCGGCUUAACCGAUGAACUGCACUUGAAACUGUUGGCCUUGAGGGUCGGAGAGGUAAGCGGAAUUCCCAGUGUAGCGGUGAAAUGCGUAGAUAUUGGGAGGAACACCAGUGGCGAAGGCGGCUUACUGGACGACAACUGACGCUGAGACACGAAAGCGUGGGGAGCAAACAGGAUUAGAUACCCUGGUA
rnacentral:rRNA from 1 species